rfam:Dipodomys ordii contig_26364, whole genome shotgun sequence.
CUGAUAAUUUAUUUUUUAAGAAUACUAGCAAUUCAAAAAUAAUGAUUCGAGGAAAUAUUCAAAUCCUUACUGCUAAUGUGAGACAAAUUUUUGAGCAGGUAAAUGUUGCUCCUAAAGUGACCUGCCUUCUUUUCAGGAUGCCUUGGUUCUGUGGUCUGCCUG